AGUAGUUUGAUCAUGGCUCAGGACGAACGCUGGCGGCGUGCUUAACACAUGCAAGUCGAACGGGGUAGCAAUACCCAGUGGCAAACGGGUGAGUAACGCGUAGGCAAUCUGCCGCAAAGUUGGGGACAACAGCUCGAAAGGGUUGCUAAUACCGAAUGUUAUAACUUUUUCGCAUGGAGAGGUUAUUAAAGAUUUAUCGCUUUGCGAGGAGCCUGCGUCCGAUUAGGUAGUUGGUAAGGUAACGGCUUACCAAGCCGACGAUCGGUAACCGGUCUGAGAGGAUGAACGGUCACAUUGGAACUGAGACACGGUCCAGACUCC
rnacentral:rRNA from 1 species